CAUGUUAUAAUAACGGAGUAGAAGUUAAAGGACGGUAGCCUAACUGGGAGGUGAUGCUUAUGACGUUUUGUAGGCUAUAACCUCAAAAUACAGAAAGGCGACAUUUUUUGUCGGUUUAUGAAGCUUUGUCACUCAUGCUUGCUUUUGCAAUGCUGGUGUUGACAUUGAAUAAU
rnacentral:sRNA from 1 species